rnacentral:rRNA from 1 species
UGCCCUUAACUCUGGGAUAAGCCUGGGAAACUGGGUCUAAUACCGGAUAUGACUCCUCAUCGCAUGGUGGGGGGUGGAAAGCUUUAUUGUGGUUUUGGAUGGACUCGCGGCCUAUCAGCUUGUUGGUGAGGUAAUGGCUCACCAAGGCGACGACGGGUAGCCGGCCUGAGAGGGUGACCGGCCACACUGGGACUGAGACACGGCCCAGACUCCUACGGGAGGCAGCAGUGGGGAAUAUUGCACAAUGGGCGAAAGCCUGAUGCAGCGACGCCGCGUGAGGGAUGACGGCCUUCGGGUUGUAAACCUCUUUCAGUAGGGAAGAAGCGAAAGUGACGGUACCUGCAGAAGAAGCGCCGGCUAACUACGUGCCAGCAGCCGCGGUAAUACGUAGGGCGCAAGCGUUAUCCGGAAUUAUUGGGCGUAAAGAGCUCGUAGGCGGUUUGUCGCGUCUGCCGUGAAAGUCCGGGGCUCAACUCCGGAUCUGCGGUGGGUACGGGCAGACUAGAGUGAUGUAGGGGAGACUGGAAUUCCUGGUGUAGCGGUGAAAUGCGCAGAUAUCAGGAGGAACACCGAUGGCGAAGGCAGGUCUCUGGGCAUUAACUGACGCUGAGGAGCGAAAGCAUGGGGAGCGAACAGGAUUAGAUACCCUGGUAGUCCAUGCCGUAAACGUUGGGCACUAGGUGUGGGGGACAUUCCACGUUUUCCGCGCCGUAGCUAACGCAUUAAGUGCCCCGCCUGGGGAGUACGGCCGCAAGGCUAAAACUCAAAGGAAUUGACGGGGGCCCGCACAAGCGGCGGAGCAUGCGGAUUAAUUCGAUGCAACGCGAAGAACCUUACCAAGGCUUGACAUGAACCGGAAAUACCUGGAAACAGGUGCCCCGCUUGCGGUCGGUUUACAGGUGGUGCAUGGUUGUCGUCAGCUCGUGUCGUGAGAUGUUGGGUUAAGUCCCGCAACGAGCGCAACCCUCGUUCUAUGUUGCCAGCGCGUUAUGGCGGGGACUCAUAGGAGACUGCCGGGGUCAACUCGGAGGAAGGUGGGGACGACGUCAAAUCAUCAUGCCCCUUAUGUCUUGGGCUUCACGCAUGCUACAAUGGCCGGUACAAAGGGUUGCGAUACUGUGAGGUGGAGCUAAUCCCAAAAAGCCGGUCUCAGUUCGGAUUGGGGUCUGCAACUCGACCCCAUGAAGUCGGAGUCGCUAGUAAUCGCAGAUCAGCAACGCUGCGGUGAAUACGUUCCCGGGCCUUGUACACACCGCCCGUCAAGUCACGAAAGUUGGUAACACCCGAAGC